AUGCUGGCAGCAGGACUAGAUCCGCUAGUGGCGUUCUGGAAGGAGUGGGGGAUCCAGAUGCUGGUGCUGCUGAGUUUAGCACUGCAGGUGAUUCUCCUCGUCACGGCGGAGAUCCGCCGUCGCAAAGAUUCGGGCGUGCUGAGGGUCGUUGUGUGGUCGGCGUACCUGCUGGCCGACACGACGGCGAUAUACACUCUUGGACACAUGUCCGUGACCAGCAGGUCGCCGGAGCAUGAGCUGGUGGCGUUCUGGGCGCCGUUUCUGCUACUGCACCUUGGUGGUCAGGACAACAUCACGGCCUACUCCAUCGAUGACAACCGGCUGUGGCUGCGCCACCUGCAGAGCUUCGUCGUGCAGGUCCUUGCGGCCGCCUAUGUCCUCUACGAGUCAUCCAUCUUCGUAGGCGGCCGCCAGACCAUGCUCGGCCAGGCCACCCUCCUCAUGUUCGUGGUUGGUGUUGUCAAGUACGGGGAGAGAGUAUGGGCACUCAUGUCUGCCAGCAGCAGUUCCCUGUCUGGGAAGAACUACAACAGUUUUGGCAGGUUGCAUUUUGAGAGACCCAAUACUACCAUUACUUCGUUGCCGGCACCAUUUCUAGCUCAUGACUUGUUGAACGUACCCAAGCAUCUGCUUAAGGGGCCGUUACCUCUUUUGGCAUUUGACUCGAAACUAGGUUAUUUUAGCUGGGAGGACAUGUACCAUGUUGCUGAGAUCCAACUCUCGUUGAUGCACGACGUCUUCUACAGCAAAGCUGAGUUGAUCCACACUUGGUACGGGUAUUGCAUCCGUGUUGCCUUCCUGCCGGCCACUGUCACCGCAUUGCUGCUGUUCCGUCGAGUAGGUGACAAAGAUGAUUUCAGCAAAGUAGAUCUCGUUGCCACUUAUGUUUUGCUCUCUGGAGCCGUCGUCCUGGAGAUCACAUCAGUGCUGAGGGCCAUGUCCUCCACCUGGAUUUGCCCGUUUUGCGAGCGCAUCCUCAAUCAAAGUUCCAUGCUUUCUAUUCCAUUGUUGUGGCUUCUUCUCCUUGUAUUUGCAUUUGGGGAGCUCGUCGGACGGGCAAUACAGAAAGUAGGAAUACUUAAGAGGUACUGGUCAGGCUCCAUGGGGCAACACAACUUUAUUUACAUGUGCAGCCACUGUAAGGAUAGCCGAAGCAGCAAAACUGCGAGAUGGAUGGGAAGGGAGGACUGGUGGAACACACUGGUUUACACGUCCUCGUCUGUCCCCGUCUCAGAAGAUUUCAGUAUGAUGUUGAAGGAACAACUAAGGGGAAGUGUAGGCGUCACCAAAGAGAAUCGAGACCACAUCCAAAACUCAAGGGGCCUGGCGGCGCUGAAGAAGAGGGGGUUGCAUGAGGAGCUGGCCUGGAGCGUGGACUCUGAGCUGGAUGAGAGCAUCCUGGUUUGGCACAUCGCCACUGAUGUCUACCUCAGCUGGUACGAGGCGGAACAUAAACGCCUGCCACCUCCUGCAAAGGUAACCCAGGAGCUCUCCAAUUACAUGAUGUUUUUGCUCGCAGCACGUCCCUACAUGCUGCCUGACAAUGCUACUCGCCAAAGGUAUAUUGAACUGUGCAACAAGGUGAUCUAUCAUCUGAAACUGCAAUACAGCUCGGCCGAGGAUUUGAUCAAGUUAAUGCAGGGCCAUGGAGAUGCUCUCAACGCUGAACAAACUCAGCCUGCCGUUGUCGAUAUGCCUGCUGCUACAACCAAAGAGAGUAGUGUAACAUUUGACAGAGCGUGUCAGCUUGGCUCGAAGCUGAUUAGCAAAGGGCUGGAAACACCUGAUGCCAUGCUUGAUCUGAUCAGCCAAGUGUGGGUGGAGAUGCUCUGCUACACGGGAUACCGAUGCAGGCCAGAUUCUCAUGCCAGACAGCUGAGCAGUGGCGGCGAGAUCACCACCGUCGUUGCCAUUUUGAUGGAAUUGUUGAAAACCGAUUUUCUGAACUUCAACAGUGGGUUGAGGACGGUGGUGACCAGAAGUUGA
rnacentral:rRNA from 1 species